UCGGCGACUAGGAAGGGCGCUCUUAUUAGACCAAGACCAAUGCGGUCGUCCUCGUGGCGGCCGCUCAGUCGUGGUGACUCUGGAUAAACCUAGCUGAUCGCAAUGAGCACUUAAGUGGGCUCGCGACGUAUCUUUCAAGCGUAUGCCCUAUCAUGUAGUCGGUACGGUAUUGGCCUACCGAGCAUACGACCCGGAGCGGGGA
rnacentral:rRNA from 1 species